AUUAAAAAUACGACUCAUAGGGCAUUUUACACAAAAUAUUAACAUUUCUUUCUUUAAAUGUUUUUUCAUGUUUUUUCUUGAAAUAUUAACAAUUUUCUCAAAAUUUGCUUUUUUGUACUUGAAAUAUAUUUUGCUGUUUUACUUAUGGUAUGACUUGGAAAUUUUAUGUAAAUCACUAAAUAUUGGUCACUAUAUAUUUUCUAAGAAUGUAACAUUUUAUUGUAUUUAUAUGAAAGAUUCUUGAUUCGAGAAAUUGCAACUUUCUCUAAAUCUUUUUCACACUAUAUUUUUGUCAUAACGUGAGUUUCUGACCGAUCAAUGUCUUCGUUCUUUAUGUUCGCAGCAUCAGACCCGUCCUCCUCUGACCUGCCCACCUCCUCUUCCUCUCCUCUGUCAGAAACACUCCACCUCCCUCAGACAGGUGAUGAAGAGUCGGUCAGUCUGCUGCAGAGUCAGCAGGUCGCCAACGAGCUGAGACAGACAGCGAGACGAGCGGUACACCUCUACCAACAGCUCGGCGUUUCAGUCGACAGUUCAGAGCAGCGUCUGCAGACGUCGUUGGUCCUGCGGGAGGCGUUUGAUGCCGUUGCCUCUGAGCUGCAGGCGGUGCUGUGGGGCGGAGGCGGGCAGGGCAGCAGCGCCCCCUCUGGUCCACUGGAGGACGUCAGGAUGAUGUCUCUGCUGGAGAGAUACUCUGAGCAGCUGGUUCAGAUGACCCAGAACAAACUGAACCGAAUCUGA
rnacentral:lncRNA from 15 species